GUCAAAUUUUAUGAUGCAUGUGAGGAUGCACUUAACGUCUACGUAGUCAUGGAAUUAUGUGAAGGUGGAUAAUUAUUAGAAAGAAUUUUAUCCAGAGGUGGAAGGUACUCAGAGGAGGAUGCAAAAGCUAUAGUUAUUCAAAUACUGAGUGUAAUCGCCUUUUGUCAUCUUCAAGGUGUUGUGCAUUGUGAUUUAAAGCCAGAGG